rnacentral:rRNA from 1 species
GACAGAGGAUGCAAGCGUUAUCCGGAAUGAUUGGGCGUAAAGCGUCUGUAGGUGGCUUUCAAGUCCGCCGUCAAAUCCCAGGGCUCAACCUCGGACAGGCGGUGGAAACUACCAAGCUGGAGUACGGUAGGGGCAGAGGGAAUUUCCGGUGGAGCGGUGAAAUGCAUUGAGAUCGGAAAGAACACCAACGGGCGAAAGCACUCUGCUGGGCCGACACUGACACUGAGAGACGAAAGCUAG